GCAACUUAUUGGUACCUUGUGGGAUGAUUUUGCCAUUGAAAUGCAUGCCUACUUUAAUGAUCCAAAUCGAGAGAAGCAUGUCGUCAUGGUGGUUCACUUUGGUGUCGUGAAUCUUUACAGAGAUAAACAAGGUUUGUCAAGCUCAUUCGAUAUCAGUAAGAUGUUCAUCAACUCUGAAUUGGAUGAAAUAACUUCUUUCAAGAAGAACUGAAGAAGGUUAUCUUGGCUAGUACAAUAAUCGCGAUUUGCUCCGAUAAAAUCUGGUACUACAAUGCUUGCAACCGUUGCAAAUCUUGUGCUGAAGAAACGUUUGUUACCGUUGACAAAGAGGAUAGUUCCAGUCGUUUAGAGGACAAGAAGACUGUAAUGUGUACCAACGCUGAUUGUAAUGUAGUGGAUAUUGUCUCAUUCGCUCGGUUUGUUAUUUUUUAAUACCGUAAAUAAAACUGUUGUAUAAAUAUAUUAAUUUAUAACAUUCAAACAUUUAUAU